ensembl:lncRNA
AAAAGUAUUCUCUUAGCUUUGUAUAAUUACGGAUGAACCACUGAUGUCACAUGGAUUAAUUCACAGAUCUCCUUGCUAUGUUUCUGGACUUGGGAACAUUUCAGUUGCAUUGCUGUCUAUGCAGGGUCAGACAGCUCCAGAUUCCUUCAAAGAUAUCUUAAUUUGUGUUCCGAAGAUGAACGAAGGUCUUACGAGUUUGAAACGACAUGAGGGUUUCCUCCCCUCAUAUAAAACACAAAAAGAGAACUCAGACACCACCCGGGGUGUGCGGCUGGAGCAGAAGCUCCUUUGUGAGGCUGUGUUAUAGGUGUGUUCAUCGCAUUGACCGAGUCUUUGUCUUGUGUGUCACUAUGUCAUUUUUAUUGCCUGUGAGUGUGUCAUUAAAGCCUGUGUGCCAGAUAUAAGUUACAUUCUGUCAGUCUAUUAAGCUGUUUGAACGGCUGACCCUUCUGAUUUGUGUGAAGUCAUCUGAGAUGAACUGCGUAUGGCUUCAUUCUUAGGAGACGGAGCAGAACGGGGGUGAAGCGGAGGCAUUAAGUGUGGCAGACGCCCCUUUGUGUGUCGGUCACAAUGCUGAAGUGAAAGAAGGCAGGAUGCUUAACAUGCAAAUGAGACGAGAGAGAAGGGGAGGUCAGGGAAAUCACUCAAUGUCACAUUAACAAGUGCUCGUUCCAUGAUGGGGUAUUAAAUGCUGAGUGUGAGAGUACUGCAGCUGCAUCUCGUUCUGUGGCAUUUACCUCUGCCAAUUCAGAAUGAUCCCAAAGAGAUCAGUUCAGAUGAAGAAAAAAAAAAUAUGUAUAUCACUGAUUGAUUAUUUUAUCCCAUUGACACAUGGCAUGUGAUCAUCCAUCAACUGUUUGACCUUGUGAAUGCAAAUGAACUAUAAGGAGUGGCAGAAAUUACCUCACUAUCUCACCAGUCGAUUUUGUAGGUGCUUAGAAUGGCAUACUGUACUGC